GGGCUCCCUUAGGCAGCACAGACACUAAAACUGGGAAGAUAUAACGAAGAUGAACAUGGCUGUAUGCAAGGAUGCCACACAGAUUCAUGAAACAUUCCAUAUUUUU